rnacentral:tRNA from 1 species
GCUGGGGCUCAGCGGUAGCGCACUUGCCUGGCACGAGUGAGGCACUGGGUUCGAUUCCCAGCACGGCA